rnacentral:snRNA from 1 species
ACCAGGAGGUUCUGGGUCGAAG